AGCCGUGUGGCAUAGUGGUUAAGUGCGUGCACUGCCACUCACACGGUCAGGAGUUCGAGCCCCCUGUGGGUCA
rnacentral:tRNA from 1 species